GACGUAGGGCGCGAGCGUUGUCCGGAUUUAUUGGGCGUAAAGAGCUCGUAGGCGGCUUGUUGCGUCGACCGUGAAAACUUGGGGCUUAACCUCAGGCUUGCGGUUGAUACGGGCAGGCUAGAGUUCGGUAGGGGAGACUGGAAUUCCUGGUGUAGCGGUGAAAUGCGCAGAUAUCAGGAGGAACACCGGUGGCGAAGGCGGGUCUCUGGGCCGUACCUGACACUGAUGCGCGACAGCAUGGGGAGCAAACAGG
rnacentral:rRNA from 1 species